rnacentral:rRNA from 1 species
GAUGAACGCUAGCGGCAGGCCUAAUACAUGCAAGUCGAACGGGAUCCAGAUCAAAGCUUGCUUUGGUUUGGUGAGAGUGGCGCACGGGUGCGUAACGCGUGAGCAACCUACCCUUGUCAGGGGGAUAGCCCGGCGAAAGUCGGAUUAAUACCGCAUGACAUCAUUGAGAGGCAUCUUUCGAUGAUCAAAGAUUUAUCGGACAAGGAUGGGCUCGCGNGACAUUAGCUAGUUGGUAAGGUAACGGAUUACCAAGGCUACGAUGUCUAGGGGCUCUGAGAGGAGAAUCCCCCA